rnacentral:rRNA from 1 species
GACGAACGCUGGCGGCGUGCUUAACACAUGCAAGUCGAACGGAAAGGCCCCUUUGGGGGUCCUCGAGUGGCGCACGGGUGCGUAACACGUGAGUAACCUGCCCUUGACUUCGGGAUAACUUCAGGAAACUGGGGCUAAUACCGGAUAGGAAUCCUUGCUGCAUGGUGGGGGUUGGAAAGCUUCGGCGGUUUUGGAUGGACUCGCGGCUUAUCAGCUUGUUGGUGGGGUAGUGGCUUACCAAGGCUUUGACGGGUAGCCGGCCUGAGAGGGCGACCGGCCACAUUGGGACUGAGAUACGGCCCAGACUCCUACGGGAGGCAGCAGUGGGGAAUAUUGCACAAUGGGCGGAAGCCUGAUGCAGCAACGCCGCGUGCGGGAUGACGGCCUUCGGGUUGUAAACCGCUUUCAGCAGGGGCGAAGCUUGUGGUGACGGUACCUGCAGAAGAAGCACCGGCUAACUACGUG